UACGGAGGGUGCGAGCGUUGUUCGGAAUCACUGGGCGUAAAGGGCGUGUAGGCGGUCUGUUAAGUCUGAUGUGAAAGCCCGGGGCUCACCCCCGGAAGUGCAUUGGAUACUGGCGGACUCGAGUCCCGGAGAGGAGGGUGGAAUUCCUGGUGUAGCGGUGAAAUGCGUAGAUAUCAGGAGGAACACCGGUGGCGAAGGCGGCCCUCUGGACGGUGACUGACGCUGAGGCGCGAAAGCGUGGGGAGCAAACAGG
rnacentral:rRNA from 1 species